GGCCAAUUUCACCAAGACUCCUGGAUUUGCCAUUUUUCCUUUCUGAAGGCAGGUCUCACCUAUCUCCUGGUUCGAUCUAGGAAAAAGGAAAGGAAGGGAUUUAAAAGUAAACAGUGAAAUGAGAAAGAAUUCACUGGGAGUUUAUCAAACUAAGUUAAAAUAGCUAAGUCAGCCUGACAGGUGCUUGGCACAGAGAAGGAGCAAAUAUUUCCUCAUCAUGCUACAACAUUUAGUAAUUUUUUGUCUUGGAUUGGUUGUACAAAAUUUCUGCUCCCCAGCUGAAACCACAGGGCAGGCCAGAAGAUGUGAUAGGAAGUCUCUUCUUACAAUUAGGACCGAGUGCCGAUCCUGCGCUCUCAACCUUGGAGUCAAGUGCCCGGAUGGUUACACCAAGAUUACCAGUGGCUCUGUAGGGGUUCGAGAUUGCAGGUACACCUUUGAGGUCAGAACAUACUCUCUGUCUCUCCCCGGAUGCCGCCAUAUUUGUAGGAAGGACUAUCUCCAACCUCGGUGUUGUCCUGGCCGCUGGGGCCCAGACUGUAUAGAGUGCCCAGGUGGAGCGGGGUCACCCUGCAAUGGCAGAGGCAGUUGUGCUGAAGGCAUGGAAGGAAAUGGAACCUGCUCCUGCCAAGAAGGCUUUGGUGGAACAGCCUGUGAAACCUGUGCUGACGACAACUUAUUUGGACCCAGCUGUUCAUCAGUGUGCAACUGUGUGCAUGGGGUGUGCAACAGUGGACUAGAUGGCGAUGGAACCUGUGAGUGCUACUCUGCAUACACUGGCCCCAAGUGUGACAAGCCCAUCCCUGAAUGUGCAGCCUUGCUCUGCCCAGAAAAUUCCAGAUGUUCGCCUUCCACUGAAGAUGAAAACAAACUGGAAUGCAAAUGCCUUCCCAAUUACCGAGGCGAUGGCAAAUACUGCGACCCCAUCAAUCCGUGUUUACGAAAAAUCUGCCACCCUCAUGCUCAUUGUACGUACCUGGGACCAAAUCGGCACAGUUGUACAUGCCAAGAAGGCUACCGUGGGGAUGGCCAAGUGUGCUUGCCUGUGGACCCCUGCCAAAUUAACUUUGGAAACUGCCCUACAAAGUCUACAGUGUGCAAAUAUGAUGGGCCUGGACAGUCUCACUGCGAGUGUAAGGAGCAUUACCAGAAUUUCGUACCUGGAGUGGGGUGCAGUAUGACUGAUAUAUGUAAAUCAGAUAACCCGUGUCAUAGGAAUGCAAAUUGCACCACCGUCGCACCAGGCCGAACUGAAUGCAUUUGCCAGAAAGGUUACGUGGGUGAUGGCUUAACGUGUUAUGGAAACAUUAUGGAGCGACUCAGAGAAUUAAAUACUGAACCCAGAGGAAAAUGGCAAGGAAGGCUGACCUCUUUCAUCUCACUCCUAGACAAAGCUUAUGCCUGGCCACUGAGUAAGCUGGGACCCUUCACGGUGCUGUUACCUACAGACAAGGGACUGAAAGGAUUCAAUGUAAAUGAGCUUUUGGUGGAUAAUAAAGCUGCUCAAUACUUUGUGAAACUCCACAUAAUUGCUGGUCAGAUGAACAUCGAAUAUAUGAAUAACACAGACACGUUCUACACCUUGACUGGAAAGUCGGGGGAAAUCUUCAACAGCGAUAAGGACAAUCAAAUAAAGCUUAAACUCUAUGGAGGCAAAAAGAAGGUAAAAAUUAUACAAGGGGACAUCAUUGCUUCCAAUGGGCUUCUGCACAUCCUUGACAGAGCCAUGGACAAGUUAGAACCCACAUUUGAGAGCAACAAUGAGCAAACCAUAAUGACAAUGCUACAACCAAGGUACAGCAAGUUCAGAUCUUUGUUAGAGGAAACCAAUUUGGGACAUGCCUUAGAUGAGGAUGGAGUUGGUGGACCAUACACCAUUUUUGUUCCAAAUAAUGAAGCAUUGAAUAACAUGAAGGACGGCACUCUCGAUUACCUCCUUUCUCCAGAGGGAUCUCGGAAGCUUCUGGAACUCGUCAGAUACCACAUUGUCCCAUUUACCCAGCUUGAAGUGGCCACUCUCAUCUCCACCCCUCACAUCAGGAGCAUGGCCAACCAGCUCAUACAGUUCAACACCACCGACAACGGACAGAUUCUGGCAAAUGAUGUGGCAAUGGAAGAAAUUGAGAUCACUGCCAAAAAUGGCCGAAUUUACACACUGACAGGAGUUCUCAUUCCUCCCUCCAUUGUCCCGAUUCUGCCCCAUCGAUGUGAUGAAACAAAGAGAGAGAUGAAACUGGGCACUUGUGUGAGCUGUUCUCUGGUGUACUGGAGCAGAUGUCCUGCUAACUCUGAGCCCACAGCACUCUUCACACACAGAUGUGUCUACAGUGGCAGGUUUGGGAGCCUGAAGAGCGGCUGUGCCCGGUACUGCAAUGCCACUGUGAAGAUUCCAAAGUGCUGCAAAGGCUUCUAUGGACCUGACUGCAACCAGUGUCCAGGAGGCUUCUCAAAUCCAUGCUCAGGAAAUGGACAGUGUGCAGAUAGCCUCGGCGGCAACGGGACAUGCAUUUGCGAGGAGGGCUUCCAAGGCUCCCAGUGUCAGUUCUGCUCUGAUCCCAAUAAAUACGGACCUCGGUGUAACAAAAAAUGCCUGUGCGUUCACGGAACAUGCGAUAACAGGAUAGACAGCGAUGGGGCCUGCCUCACUGGCACAUGCAGAGACGGCUCUGCCGGGAGACUCUGUGAUAAGCAGACCUCAGCCUGUGGGCCCUACGUGCAGUUCUGUCACAUCCACGCCACCUGUGAAUACAGCAAUGGGACAGCCAGUUGUAUUUGCAAAGCAGGAUAUGAAGGAGAUGGAACUGUGUGUUCUGAGAUGGACCCUUGCACAGGACUAACUCCAGGAGGCUGUAGCCGCAAUGCAGAAUGCAUCAAAACUGGCACGGGCACCCACACCUGCGUGUGUCAGCAAGGUUGGACGGGGAAUGGGAGAGACUGCUUGGAGAUCAACAACUGCCUGCUGCCCAGUGCAGGCGGCUGCCACGACAACGCAACCUGUUUGUAUGUGGGUCCCGGGCAGAAUGAGUGUGAGUGCAAGAAAGGAUUUCGAGGAAAUGGGAUUGACUGUGAACCAAUAACUUCAUGCUUGGAACAAACCGGGAAAUGUCAUCCAUUGGCAAGCUGUCAAUCUACUUCGUCUGGUGUCUGGAGCUGUGUUUGUCAAGAGGGCUAUGAAGGAGAUGGCUUUCUGUGCUAUGGAAACGCAGCAGUGGAAUUGUCAUUUCUCUCCGAAGCAGCUAUAUUUAACCGGUGGAUAAAUAAUGCUUCUCUACAACCCACACUGUCAGCCACCUCAAACCUCACUGUCCUCGUGCCUUCCCAACAAGCUACUGAGGACAUGGACCAGGAUGAGAAAAGCUUCUGGUUGUCACAGAGCAAUAUUCCAGCCCUAAUAAAGUACCAUAUGCUACUGGGCACAUACAGAGUGGCAGAUCUGCAGACCCUGUCUUCUUCUGACAUGUUGGCAACAUCUUUGCAGGGCAACUUCCUUCACUUGGCAAAGGUGGAUGGGAAUAUCACAAUUGAAGGGGCCUCCAUUGUCGAUGGGGACAACGCAGCCACAAAUGGAGUGAUACACAUCAUCAACAAGGUGCUGGUCCCACAAAGACGUCUAACUGGCUCCUUACCAAACCUGCUCAUGCGGCUGGAACAGAUGCCUGACUAUUCCAUUUUCCGGGGCUACAUCAUUCAAUAUAAUCUGGCGAAUGCAAUUGAGGCUGCCGAUGCCUACACAGUGUUUGCUCCAAACAACAAUGCCAUCGAGAAUUACAUCAGGGAGAAGAAAGUCUUGUCUCUAGAGGAGGACGUGCUCCGGUAUCAUGUGGUCCUGGAGGAGAAACUCCUGAAGAAUGACCUGCACGAUGGCAUGCAUCGUGAGACCAUGCUGGGUUUCUCCUAUUUCCUUAGCUUCUUUCUCCACAAUGACCAGCUCUAUGUAAAUGAGGCUCCAAUAAACUACACCAAUGUAGCCACUGAUAAGGGAGUGAUCCAUGGCUUGGGAAAAGUUCUGGAAAUUCAGAAGAACAGAUGUGAUAAUAAUGACACUACUAUUAUACGAGGAAGAUGUAGGACAUGCUCCUCAGAGCUGACCUGCCCAUUCGGAACUAAAUCUCUAGGUAAUGAGAAGAUGAGAUGCAUCUAUACCUCUUAUUUCAUGGGAAGACGAACCCUGUUUAUUGGGUGCCAGCCAAAAUGUGUGAGAACCGUCAUUACGAGAGAAUGCUGUGCCGGCUUCUUUGGCCCCCAAUGCCAGCCCUGCCCAGGGAAUGCCCAGAACGUCUGCUUUGGUAAUGGCAUCUGUUUGGAUGGAGUGAACGGCACAGGUGUGUGUGAGUGUGGGGAGGGCUUCAGCGGCACAGCCUGCGAGACCUGCACCGAGGGCAAGUACGGCAUCCACUGUGACCAAGCAUGUUCUUGUGUCCAUGGGAGAUGCAACCAAGGACCCUUGGGAGAUGGCUCCUGUGACUGUGAUGUUGGCUGGCGAGGAGUGCAUUGUGACAAUGCAACCACAGAAGACAACUGCAAUGGGACAUGCCAUACCAGCGCCAACUGCCUCACCAACUCAGAUGGUACAGCUUCAUGCAAGUGUGCAGCAGGAUUCCAAGGAAACGGGACCAUCUGCACAGCAAUCAAUGCCUGUGAGAUCAGCAAUGGAGGUUGCUCUGCCAAGGCUGACUGUAAGAGAACCACCCCAGGAAGGCGAGUGUGCACGUGCAAAGCAGGCUACACGGGUGAUGGCAUUGUGUGCCUGGAAAUCAACCCGUGUUUGGAGAACCAUGGGGGCUGUGACAAGAAUGCGGAGUGCACACAGACAGGACCCAACCAGGCUGCCUGUAACUGUUUGCCAGCAUACACUGGAGACGGAAAGGUCUGCACGCUCAUCAACGUCUGCUUAACGAAAAAUGGCGGCUGUAGUGAAUUUGCCAUCUGCAACCACACUGGGCAAGUAGAAAGGACUUGUACUUGCAAGCCAAACUACAUUGGAGAUGGAUUUACCUGCCGCGGCAGCAUUUAUCAGGAGCUUCCCAAGAACCCGAAAACUUCCCAGUAUUUCUUCCAGUUGCAGGAGCAUUUCGUGAAAGAUCUGGUCGGCCCAGGCCCCUUCACUGUUUUUGCACCUUUAUCUGCAGCCUUUGAUGAGGAAGCUCGGGUUAAAGACUGGGACAAAUACGGUUUAAUGCCCCAGGUUCUUCGGUACCAUGUGGUCGCCUGCCACCAGCUGCUUCUGGAAAACCUGAAAUUGAUCUCAAAUGCUACUUCCCUCCAAGGAGAGCCAAUAGUCAUCUCCGUCUCUCAGAGCACGGUGUAUAUAAAUAAUAAAGCUAAGAUCAUAUCCAGUGAUAUCAUCAGUACUAAUGGGAUUGUUCAUAUCAUAGACAAAUUGCUAUCUCCCAAAAAUUUGCUUAUCACUCCCAAAGACACCUCUGGAAGAAUUCUGCAAAAUCUUACGACUUUGGCAACAAACAAUGGCUACAUCAAAUUUAGCAACUUAAUACAGGACUCAGGUUUGCUGAGUGUCAUCACCGAUCCCAUCCACACCCCAGUCACUCUCUUCUGGCCCACCGACCAAGCCCUCCAUGCCCUACCUGCUGAACAACAGGACUUCCUGUUCAACCAAGACAACAAGGACAAGCUGAAGGAGUAUUUGAAGUUUCAUGUGAUACGAGAUGCCAAGGUUUUAGCUGUGGAUCUUCCCACAUCCACUGCCUGGAAGACCCUGCAAGGUUCAGAGCUGAGUGUGAAAUGUGGAGCUGGCAGGGACAUCGGUGACCUCUUUCUGAAUGGCCAAACCUGCAGAAUUGUGCAGCGGGAGCUCUUGUUUGACCUGGGUGUGGCCUACGGCAUUGACUGUCUGCUGAUUGAUCCCACCCUGGGGGGCCGCUGUGACACCUUUACUACUUUCGAUGCCUCGGGGGAGUGUGGGAGCUGUGUCAAUACUCCCAGCUGCCCAAGGUGGAGUAAACCAAAGGGUGUGAAGCAGAAGUGUCUCUACAACCUGCCCUUCAAGAGGAACCUGGAAGGCUGCCGGGAGCGGUGCAGCCUGGUGAUACAGAUCCCCAGGUGCUGCAAGGGCUACUUCGGGCGAGACUGUCAGGCCUGCCCUGGAGGACCAGAUGCCCCGUGUAAUAACCGGGGUGUCUGCCUUGAUCAGUACUCGGCCACCGGAGAGUGUAAAUGCAACACCGGCUUCAAUGGGACGGCGUGUGAGAUGUGCUGGCCGGGGAGAUUCGGGCCUGAUUGUCUGCCCUGUGGCUGCUCAGACCACGGACAGUGCGAUGAUGGCAUCAUGGGCUCCGGGCAGUGCCUCUGUGAAACGGGGUGGACAGGCCCCUCGUGUGACACUCAGGCAGUUUUGCCUGCAGUGUGUACGCCUCCUUGUUCUGCUCAUGCCACCUGUAAGGAGAACAACACGUGUGAGUGUAACCUGGAUUAUGAAGGUGACGGAAUCACAUGCACAGUUGUGGAUUUCUGCAAACAGGACAACGGGGGCUGUGCAAAGGUGGCCAGAUGCUCCCAGAAGGGCACGAAGGUCUCCUGCAGCUGCCAGAAGGGAUACAAAGGGGACGGGCACAGCUGCACAGAGAUAGACCCCUGUACAGACGGCCUUAACGGAGGGUGUCACGAGCACGCCACCUGUAAGAUGACAGGCCCGGGCAAGCACAAGUGUGAGUGUAAAAGUCACUAUGUCGGAGAUGGGCUGAACUGUGAGCCGGAGCAGCUGCCCAUUGACCGCUGCUUACAGGACAAUGGGCAGUGCCAUGCAGACGCCAAAUGUGUCGACCUCCACUUCCAGGAUACCACUGUUGGGGUGUUCCAUCUACGCUCCCCACUGGGCCAGUAUAAGCUGACCUUUGACAAAGCCAGAGAGGCCUGUGCCAACGAAGCUGCGACCAUGGCAACCUACAACCAGCUCUCCUAUGCCCAGAAGGCCAAGUACCACCUGUGCUCAGCAGGCUGGCUGGAGACCGGGCGGGUUGCCUACCCCACAGCCUUCGCCUCCCAGAACUGUGGCUCUGGUGUGGUUGGGAUAGUGGACUAUGGACCUAGACCCAACAAGAGUGAAAUGUGGGAUGUCUUCUGCUAUCGGAUGAAAGAUGUGAACUGCACCUGCAAGGUGGGCUAUGUGGGAGAUGGCUUCUCAUGCAGUGGGAACCUGCUGCAGGUCCUGAUGUCCUUCCCCUCACUCACAAACUUCCUGACGUUUAAGAGCAUGAUCUACACAAAUGAGACACUCUUUAAUCCUCUUCAUGGAUGUAGUUAGCUAAGCCUGCCUGGUGAUCACCCAGUGAGCCAAAUUACAAUGGAGUCAAUUUGCGUCUUGCACUGCACUUAAAGUCACGUCAAUAUUCUACAAGUCAUAUCCAGUGAAGAGAAAGCCUCAUCUGGAGAAAGGUUUGGUGCUGACUGAUCAAAGAACUGACCUAACAGUAAUAAUGACAACAACAAUAACAACAGCUAACAUUUCUUGAGCAUUUAAGAGGACAUUUCAUUCAAGCCAUAGAAUGAAGUGUUGGCCUAUUCCAACAGCUCAGCUCGAGGCCGUGCAUUUCUAGAACACCUGACUGACCUGUCCAUCCGCGGCACCCUCUUUGUGCCACAGAACAGUGGGCUGGGGGAGAAUGAGACCCUGUCUGGGCGGGACAUCGAGCACCACCUCGCCAAUGUCAGCAUGUUUUUCUACAAUGACCUUGUCAAUGGCACCACCCUGCAAACGAGGCUGGGAAGCAAGCUGCUCAUCACUGCCAGCCAGGACCCACUCCAACCGACGGAGACCAGGUUUGUGGAUGGAAGAGCCAUUGUGCAGUGGGACAUCUUUGCCUCCAAUGGGAUCAUUCAUGUCAUUUCCAGGCCUUUAAAAGCACCCCCUGCCCCCGUGACCUUGACCCACACUGGCUUGGGAGCAGGGAUCUUCUUUGCCAUCAUCCUGGUGACUGGGGCUGUUGCCUUGGCUGCUUACUCCUACUUUCGGAUAAACCGGAGAACAAUCGGCUUCCAGCAUUUUGAGUCGGAAGAGGACAUUAAUGUUGCAGCUCUUGGCAAGCAGCAGCCUGAGAAUAUCUCGAACCCCUUGUAUGAGAGCACAACCUCAGCUCCCCCAGAACCUUCCUACGACCCCUUCACGGACUCUGAAGAACGGCAGCUUGAGGGCAAUGACCCCUUGGGGACACUGUGAGGGCCUGGACGGGAGAUGCCAGCCAUCACUCACUGCCAUCUGGGCCAUCAACUGUGAAUUCUCAGCACCAGUUGCCUUUUAGGAACGUAAAGUCCUUUAAGCACUCAGAAGCCAUACCUCAUCUCUCUGGCUGAUCUGGGGGUUGUUUCUGUGGGUGGGAGACGUGUUGCUGUGCCCACCCAGUACAGCUUCCUCCUCUGACCCUUUGGCUCUUCUUCCUUUGUACUCUUCAGCUGGCACCUGCUCCAUUCUGCCCUACAUGAUGGGUAACUGUGAUCUUUCUUCCCUGUUAGAUUGUAAGCCUCCAUCUUUGUAUCCCAGCCCCUAGCCCAGUGCCUGACACAGGAACUGUGCACAAUAAAGGUUUAUGGAACAGAAACAAA